rnacentral:lncRNA from 1 species
UGGUCCUGGCCUUGCGGCCUGCGGGGGAGGCUGCCCGGAGGAGGCAGCGGCGGCGGCAGCGCGUCCUCGGUCCCCAGGACCACGGCUUCUUUCCUGCCAGAGCGACUCUACCUUGGAAACCAGGGAUUCCCCUUCCCGUCGCCCGCCCCAUUUGAUAUAUGGGCCUGAAAUGUAUGCCAUCCCAUCACCAUCGGACUGGACUGUUCACAGCACUGGAGAGACAGAGGUCCUUCAUUCACUCCAGGUCACAGGCUGUGCGUGUGCAUGCCGAACACCCACAUGCACACAGUUGGUGGCUCAGUCUGAUGUACCUGACUUCUCACGCCUUCCCCCAGUCCUCCAGUACCGUGCCUCUACAUGGGCUGGGCAGCCCCAAACUGAAAUGUGAGUGCCAGAGUGCAUCCUUUAAGCGAGGUCUGCCCCACGGACACCCGCUCCCUCUGUGUCCCUGCUUUGACAGAUCUAUCCAUCUGGCCAUCCAUCCGUGGGGGUCUGCAAUGGCCACCUUUAGCCGCCAGGAAUUUUUCCAGCAGCUACUACAAGGCUGUCUCCUGCCUACUGCCCAGCAGGGCCUUGACCAGAUCUGGCUGCUCCUUGCCAUCUGCCUCGCCUGCCGCCUCCUCUGGAGGCUCGCUGCACAUGGUUUGGGUCGUGCUGCUCAGCCUCCUGUGCUACCUCGUGCUGUUCCUCUGCCGACAUUCCUCCCAUCGAGGCGUCUUCCUAUCCGUCACCAUCCUCAUCUACUUACUCAUGGGUGAGAUGCACAUGGUAGACACCGUGACAUGGCACAAGAUGCGAGG